ACAAACUUGGUCAUUUAGAGGAAGUAAAAGUCGUAACAAGGUUUCCGUAGGUGAACCUGCGGAAGGAUCAUUAAAAAAGUUUGGAUAUGAACUCUCAUUCCAAGUUUCCACUCAGCGUACCUGUCCACUGUAAGCUUCCGUUUGGCGCGGGUCUUAGGAUCCCCUCCUAUCGAGUCCAAUAGCGGCUCGGUUGGGAGUGUCCAGACGGGAGCCAAUAGCAAACCCAAUCUAUUAGUUGUAUGUCAUGUCUGAUAUGUUGCAAAGCAAUAUUUAAAACUUUCAACAACGGAUCUCUUGGUUCUCGCAUCGAUGAAGAACGCAGC
rnacentral:misc_RNA from 1 species